AAACCGCGUUGUGGACACUUCCACAAGAGGUCCUUGAAUCAUUCCCAUGUCUCAAAUAAUGAUUCGAGCUCCAUCUGUAUGAAUAAGGUUAUCUCAUUACUAAACCU